rnacentral:rRNA from 1 species
GACGUGGGGCGAGCCUUUACCGGCUUGUGAAGCGUCUGUGCCUGCGUUUAUACAAAACACUAUUAAAGUAUUAGAACGUGUAUUGCGACAUAACGCAUUUAUAUACAACUUUCAGCAACGGAUCUCUUGGCUCUCGCAUCGAUGAAGAACGCAGCGAAAUGCGAUAAGUAAUGUGAAUUGCAGAAUUCAGUGAAUCAUCGAAUCUUUGAACGCACCUUGCGCUCCUUGGUAUUCCGAGGAGCACGCCUGUUUGAGUGUCAUGAAAUUCUCAACCUAUAAACCUUUGCGGGUCUAUAGGAUUGGACUUGGAGGCUUUGUCGGCUUUACAGUCGGCUCCUCUCAAAUGCAUUAGCUUGAUUCCUUGCGGAUCGGCUCUCGGUGUGAUAAUUGUCUACGCCGCGACCGUGAAGCGUUUUGGCGAGCUUCUAACCGUCUCUUAUGAGACAAUCUUUUGACAUCUGACCUCAAAUCAGGCGGGACUACCCGCUGAAACUUAAGCAUAUCAAUAAGCGAAGA